GUAGGUGGCAAGCGUUGUCCGGAAUUAUUGGGCGUAAAGCGCGCGCAGGCGGUUCGUUUAAGUCUGAUGUGAAAGCCCACGGGCUCAACCGUGGAGGGUCAUUGGAAACUGGAGAACUUGAGUACAGAAGAGGAAAGCGGAAUUCCACGUGUAGCGGUGAAAUGCGUAGAGAUGUGGAGGAACACCAGUGGCGAAGGCGGCUUUCUGGUCUGUAACUGACGCUGAGGCGCGAAAGCGUGGGGAGCAAACAGGAUUAGAUACCCAGGUAGUCCACGCCGUAAACGAUGAGUGCUAAGUGUUAGGGGGUUUCCGCCCCUUAGUGCUGCAGCUAACGCAUUAAGCACUCCGCCUGGGGAGUACGGCCGCAAGGCUG
rnacentral:rRNA from 1 species